rnacentral:misc_RNA from 1 species
AAAUGUUGCCUUUGAAUUUUCCUUCAAAAUCGGCACGAACUUUCCGGACGACCCAAUAUAAUGCAAUAGAAAAGCCGAAGGCAAUAGAUAUUUGCUAUAAUCAAUCUGCAUGUUUAGUAAUAAGAAAAAUAGAGAUCUUAUUUUGUAUUGCAAAGUAAUGUCAUUUUAUAACAGUUUGUAAUAUAUUUUAUUAUAGACAAAUAAAAUAUUAAUGUGAAGUAUAACGCGGUUUAAUAUUUUACUCACUUUUUGUGCUAUCAUAAGGCCAAAGUAAACUUCUUUCAAUCUUAUGGAUACAUUAUCAUGUGAUAAUCUCUCACGCAAUGCUUUGAUGAUGCGCGCAUAUAUAGCCGUAUGAUUAUUCCCGAAUUGUGAUAUGUAAACAUUUAUUAAACCGAUUACGUUAAAGCUUUUUUACAAAAGUGAGCGUGUAUACACACGUGCUCGAAUCUUUUAUAACAUGCUUGUAACUGGCCCGUCUACCAUCAGCAGUGCAAAUAUCGCAGUAUUGCUAACACGUCAUCAGAUUUAUUUGCAUGAAGUGAAAGAGUUGCAACAUCUUACAAUAACAUAAAAUCUUAUAAGUCUCCUAAGAAAAUUUGAAUAAAGAAGACUUUCUAACUUCUCUUUUUAUGUUUAACUUAAAUUUCUUACAAUUUUUUAUUUAUAUAAAUCAUUUAUACGAAUCAAUUUUAUGUUUUUAUAGUACAAUUUUCUUAAAUAUUUUUUCGUUCAAGGCGCUUCCUUAUCCACUGCUGAAAAGAAUCCAAGACAAGGUCGAGGCAGCUGUAGUAAAUUAAUCUCAAUGUACUAAUAUUAGCAUAUUUGUGUUAUCAAUUCGCAUUCUACUCAGUUACGUCUCAUGCUCUUAUUUAAGCUUAUGAAACAGAAAUAAAAUUCUUCAAGUAAAAAUAAAAUAAAGAAAUAUCAUAUAAACGAAAACUGUGCAUAAAUCUCAGGAUGUUUCAAUUUAGAUAUCCGCGCUGGACAUGAACUUCAGAAUUUUAACAGUUAUCAUUGAUUCCCUCCGAAUUCUACGUUUGGGCACGAAACACAAAAUUCCGCGAUACGCGAACGGAUGUGGUCUACUUAGUGCUACAAAUGUUUCAAAAUAUUUUCUAUCCUUUUUUCUUUCAAAUAAAAAGAAAGACAGAAAGUGUUUUGAAGUAUUUGUAGCGCUAAGUGGACUGUAUCCAACGCUCGAGAUCCGAGCGUAUUUCUGCCGCUUACAAAAUCUUUCAUCUUGCCGGCAGAAGGCGCCGCCAUCGUGGUGCCAUUGAUAAACAGCUCAUGCUACACGCCACAAAGAGACGCGAGCCGUCGCGACGACGCAAAGAGAGUGCUCCGGCGCGUAAAAUUCUCACGUACCUCCCAGCGCGUUGGCUGACGUGAUCAGCAGCGCGUGGACGCGUUGCACUUGGAAAAUUUGAUUUUCAGUGAAUUCAGUGAGCCUCGGUCGUCGAAACUGCGGGAAACUCUCGGAGGAAAGGAAUUACUCACAGUCGCAGCGACAGCCAGCAACGGCCAGCAGCAGCAGCAGCAGGCUUCCUUGAAGGAGAAUCCGUGAAUCGGAAAAUUUCGCGGUAAAUCGCAGGAAAGGUAGAACGCGUACGGCAAACAACGCUAGAUUUCCUCAGCAAACAGAGCCGCUAUCGACAAGAAGCUCUAAUCGCGUCUUCGAGUGAUUCUCGAAGUUCUCGCAUCCUUUGAGGGGUCCGGCACGUGGCAGCGCUGACGACGACAGACACAUCGGCACCGCGACGUGACGUAUCGGCAGAAACGCGCUGGCCGGGACAAAAGAGAGUACCGAGAGAACGAAGUCACCUUCCUCCACGCCGUCGAGCUGAGCCGCGCAGAAGAGCAGUCUGCGAGGUCGCAGCGCACGCGAAAAGCCACGAUAUCAGAGAUAACGUUUCGAAACUAAUUAAUCCGCGCGGCAAACAGACCGUCGUCCGCUCUUGACGGCGCGUCUGCCGGGACGACUCUGGCAGCCCGUAGUCACCGGCUGCCAGUCGCGAACUACGCCAAUUUGCAAAUUGCUGCAGCUGGCGUCGUGCAUUGUCGAAUGGUCUUUCCGUCCUAGACCAGAUCUCGAUCCGCGCGUGAAAAUUCUCUCAGUGUUCCUCGGGAGCGCGACACGCGCGAGUUUCACGAGUUCGUAUAAUAUAUUCCUCCGGUAAUAACAUUGAAAUCGUACGAUAAGUGCAUCCCUGAUGAUCGAAGCGUCGUGACGUCACAGCUGAUAACUAGAACAAAUAAGCUACUCGGAGCCACUUCUCCACUUCGAAUUUGCAACGCCUGCAAUCAGAAGAUAAGUUAGAGGCCAAACAUCUUCGAGGCGCAUUAGCAGACCGUCUCGGCGAGGAACGCAAAGCUACAGUUGAUAAAUCAGAAAUUAAACGUCCACGACGAGACACGUCGGAAGCUUCAGGUGACGAUUACGAUUUCGGCGAGACAACGCGAUCAUUGCGAGAGAACGCUGGAGCAUAAAAGAAUCGCGUCUUGUUGAUCAACACUGAGUGGUUCCAAUUGAGAGCCGACCCUUGAGAGCGGAGCCCAUUGGCCAAGCUGUUAAUUCCUUCAAGCACGAUUGGAUUGGAUCACUCGCGGACAUUCCAGCGUUCGUCACCGUCGACAUCGUCAGGCCGUUUUCCGAGCACCGUCUCGCCAUCCGGACUUUGCUCCUCGCGAAGAAGUUCCUGUGUCUUGUUAAAAUCUAUCGGGAACCUCGGAACAAGGAUCAGCCGAUAUUGUAAAGUUUUAGUGCACAUUUGCAGUGAAUACUUGUUGGAGAACACAUUCGAUUUAACACACUCGAAACACGGAUUUCCAAGGAAAACAUUUUGCAGGACCGGUCACGAAUCAGCAUCAGCAGAAUCAACAAGUCAUCUUCAGCAACAAUUGGAGUCCUAAAAUUGUGACAAAGUGCUCGUUAACGUGAAAAAAUUAAGGUGCUUUGCUGUCCUCUGCAUCAUCUGGGUGACUGAAAAUACUUUGAUCAUAUUUGGCAUCCUCGACGACUGAAUGGCUCACAUCUAUUGGCUGUUGCUUUUCGAGAGACUCUGGUAGUGUCUCACCGCGAUAGUGACGGCAAGAACACAGUACGGAGAGAAGGAGAGAGAGACGUCGCUAUCGCGGAGAGGGUCGAGUCCCCUUGGUCCCGCCGGGAAAACCUUCGCCUUGCUGAUCUUUUCUAAAGGACCAGAUCUCUCUUCGUCGUCGAGAAAAUUUUGG